AACUUUCAACAAUGGAUCACUUGGCUCUCGCAUCGAUGAAGAACGCAGCGAAAUGCGAUAAGUAAUGUGAAUUGCAGAAUUCAGUGAAUCGUCGAAUCUUUGAACGCACCUUGCGCCCCUUGGCCAUUCCGAGGGGCAUGCCUGUUUGAGUAUCAUGAACAUCUCAACUCUUAUGGCUUGCCAUGAUGCGCUUCGACUUUGGGGGUCUUGUUGGCCUCUGUGGUCAGCUCCUCUUAAAUGUAUCAGCUCGCUAGUGUUUGGCGGAAUGGUGGGUGUGUUAACGAUCUACGCCGAUGGUUGUUUACCCGGUAACCUUCAGCAGUGGAGGUUCGAUGGGGCUUCUAAAUGUAUCUCCACAGCAAGAGACAGCAAUUUGAACGUUCGCUCUCAGAUCAGGUAGGACUAACCGCUGAACUUAAGCAUAUCAAUAAGCAGAGGGU
rnacentral:misc_RNA from 1 species